ensembl:lncRNA
GCGACCCCGUAUGGGACGAGCGGUUCUGAAAGUGUGUUUGUGUGUGUAUAUUAAUAUGCAAAUGUGUAAAUCACAUGAGCUUCUCAGCAGCACUUUCAGUUUCAUUGAACAGUCCGAUGCAUCUAAGCGCACGUCACACUGCACUACACUUUACUACGAUACAGUAAAAUAAAGUACAGUACAAUACAAAACUUCGUAGAGUACAAUACACUACAAUAUAGUAGAAUAGAGGACUUCGUCGAGGCUCCGAAGAGACGACACGUUCGGUUCGGCCAGUCCAGACAACUGUAUGUAUGUACAAUGAUUUCCCACUGUUUACCGGCCUCGAGGUGCAUAAAAGGUACGUCUGGUCCAUCAUGGCAGUUGGUCAUCAGCUUCAGUCAUCAUGGGUUGCUGGUAUCCCCGCCGGCCUUCUUGCUCAAGGGGUCUAGAGCUGGAGGAUUUGGACUCUUUGUUACUCUUGCUAUUGUUAUUGUUAGUGCUGCAUCAUGGAUGAAAAACCAGCAAGUUCGUUCAGUGCGAACGUCGAGCGACUCUCCGUACACGCGCUGCGAGCGCUGCCAGGACGCGCAGUGCGGCGCUCUGCUCCGAAGUGUGUGGCGGUCCGACGGCGUCAGCGACUUCCAGUUGUGGUCCUCGGGCGGCGGCGACACGCUCGUCCCGGACUGCUCGACCAUCUCUCCAUCUCCCGCUACUAGCAUUGUGUGCCAGAGUCACCUUGUCGUUUACCUCUUCGCAAAGGAGUCCGACCCGCCCAUUAAGUUUCACUUUGAAGGAAAGACCGGGAAUUAUCUCACUUCCGAAGCAGUAGACUGCCCCGAAGUAACACAGAAAUUACGUGCCAUGCCACAUGGAGGCGCUGCUCCACCUAUAACAUCCAUGGCCUCCUCCGCACCAAAAGCUGGUUUUAGAAAUGCCGUAUGUGCAGCCAGGCUCGUGGCGGUUCGUAGCCUAUCUCUGAGGCACCGGGCGCAAAUGUUUGUAGCUGUUGCCAUAAUUGGAGGUGCAGCAAGAUGA